rnacentral:rRNA from 1 species
CACGUAGUUAGCCGGGGCUUCUUAGUCAGGUAUCGUCAUUAUCUUCCCUGCUGAUAGAGCUUUACAUACCGAAAUACUUCUUCACUCACGCGGCGUCGCUGCAUCAGGGUUUCCCCCAUUGUGCAAUAUUCCCCACUGCUGCUUCCCGUAGGAGUCUGGGCCGUGUCUCAGUCCCAAUGUGGCCGUUCACUCUCUCAAGCCGGCUACUGAUCGUCGCCUUGGUAGGCCGUUACCCUGCCAACUAGCUAAUCAGACGCGGGUCCAUCUCACAGCGAUAAAUCUUUGAAGGAACCUUCAUGCGGAGAUCCCUUGUUAUGCGGUAUUAGCAGCCGUUUCCGGCUGUUGUCCCCCUCUGUGAGGCAGGUUACCCACGCGUUACUCACCCGUCCGCCACUCAGUCAUUACCAUCUUCCCUCCGAAAAGUUCCGUCGGUAGCGCUUCGUUCGACUUGCAUGUGUUAAGCACGCCGCAGCGUCAUCUGAGCCAGGAUCUAAA